AAUGUGACAUCAAUGUGUGACAUUAAACUUGCAUAAUGUCAAAAUUAAAAAUCAUCAGCACAUUUGACAAAUUUCAAUAAAAUUAAUAGCGAAUACGUAACACCAUGAGUAAAGGAUAAUAUAUCUGAGCUGGAUAUAAGAAAAAUCUUUUUUGAAAAUCGACAAUAUAUUGAUGUUAUCUGUGUUGGAUGUUGGAGCAUAAAAGAAAUAAAAUGUUGACGUUUUGGAAAACAAUUUAAGGGACAUGGAAAACAUAAAUGUUAUCUUCAAGAACUCCAGUCCGUUUCUUUACUUCGUAACAGGACUUCUUCUUCUCUUCGUUUAUUUGAGAGGGAUGAACUGGAGCGGUAUUAUUAGUCCGGAGGAAGUAGACUUGGGUUCAGUGAGAGUUUUGAAAAGAACAAGUCGAAACAAACGCAAUGAAACAACUCAUUAAAAUUUAAUUUAAAAUUAA